UACGAAGGGGGCUAGCGUUGUUCGGAAUUACUGGGCGUAAAGCGCGCGUAGGCGGCUAUUUAAGUCAGGGGUGAAAGCCCGGAGCUCAACUCCGGAACUGCCUUUGAGACUGGAUAGCUAGAAUCUUGGAGAGGCGAGUGGAAUUCCGAGUGUAGAGGUGAAAUUCGUAGAUAUUCGGAAGAACACCAGUGGCGAAGGCGGCUCGCUGGACAAGUAUUGACGCUGAGGUGCGAAAGCGUGGGGAGCAAACAGG
rnacentral:rRNA from 1 species